rnacentral:misc_RNA from 1 species
GAUGAUCGCUUCAUCUCCCGAUUACACGCCCACACCCACACAACCAGCAGCUGCACGUACACACCAAUUCCUGCCGUGUCUCCUCGUGAGCGUCGACCCGCCUCUCUCCUCCCCCUAUUCUCCGACCCCACGAGGGAUUGCGACGCAGCCCUUCAGCCGGCCAACAAAGAGGCAAUGGCACCUAAGGCGCACAGCGACGAGGCCCUCCUCGACGCCUGCAUCAACGCGAACCGUCUCGAGUACCCGGAGCAGUCGCUGAUCUUUGUGGCGCUUAUCGCCUCCUUUCAGCCCGUGUACUUCUCGCACGCCAUCAACGGCUUCGACUGGCGCCAUGUUCCGAACCUCGUCCUGUACAUCGUUAUCACGGGCUUUACGACGUACAUGUUACGUCAGGCGUACGUUGUGAUGGUGCAGAGCGAGUUCUGGGGCCGUCAGCGCCACUUCGCCGAGGUCUCGGACGAGAAAGCCAAGGCGCUGCGUCGUCUGCGCCUGCAGGUAGCGGUGGGAUACAGUCUGUUCUUCCUGAACAGUGUCUUCUUUGUGGUGAGCACCUGCUUGAUGGCGUACAUCUUCCGCCACAGCGACCCCCGCGCCAGCUACAUCCUUUCGCCGACGCUGACGGCGGCCCUGCUGUGGCUGAUUGCGCAGAAAAACGAGGAGAGCCGCCAGCGCCGCAUGCGCCUCCACAAGUAAGUAAAUGCGAAAAAUGGAAGGCGAGAUGAGCGAGUCUGGGGCAGGCAGUGAGACGCAUGCGGCGCUAUCUGCGGGUUACUGAUUGCGAGGACGAGGAUACUUGGGGACGGCGGUUGAGGGUGUAGGUGCACUCACCUACGCACGCACGCGGAAAAAAAAAAGCAAAGGACAGCAGAUCGCAGCACCGUGCGCCGUUCAGCUGCAACGCCUUGCGUGGCUUCGCUUUGGGGUGAUCGCUCCUCUACGCAUGUGCGCGCUGUAGUGCGCUAACUUUCACCAUCCGUCUUCUCCCCCUUCCGCGAUGUCCUUCGCAUCGCCCCACCCACCCUCCCCUCUUGGCCACUCCGUCCUAGCCAGCGCUCUUCCGCUCGGGGGCGGGCAGCGAGGGGCGGAUGCAAGACUUGGAGAGCAUUCUCGUCACCUCGUGAUGGCUGGCUUUGGCAGCCCUUGCUCUUCCCUCUUUUUGCCUGUCGCCUCUACCGUCUCGUGGCCGCCUUGUUGUGCAAGUUGCCUCUCUCUGCCAUUCCCUCAUCGGCAUCAUGGAUGCCACCCGUCAGCGCUGCAGCCCUCGCGUGCCUGCGUCGACUUCGAUGGGCGUCAUUCGGGUUUGAUGGCGUUGAGGGGAGCGGAGGGCGGAGGGGAAGGGGACGUGAAUACGGGUCGGCAAAGUACGAGAGGCCCUGUGUGAACGUCCCCACCCACCCAGCAAGAGGCACCGCCACAAUCGCACCAAGCAUGCAAACGCAUGCACGCACGCACGUACGCUCGCCACCACCGCCUUCUCCUUGUCUCUCUCUCUCCCGAUCUCCUUACCUCCCACGUCGCAG